UUUUUCCAAGAUUAAGAUUCAUCUAGUAUGCCUCAUUGAUUAUAGGAAAAUGAUGAAAUGGUAUUUUUAAUAGAGAUCAGAUAAUUUCUUUUGAGGCAAUUCUAAACUACUGUAUUAUAUUUGUAUUGGUAUAUUGAAAGCAUUUUGCAGACCCAGAAGAGAAUAAAUAAUAUAAUAAUUAUAAAAGGAACCAUACUAUGGGAAGAGGUCACUCUAUUAAAUUGCUAAGGGGUUAAACUCAUUUUGAUAAGCAUAUAAAAUUUAGUUUUUGUGGUUAGAAUUUUUGAUACUCAAUUUGAACUCAAUUGAAGUAUUACAACCAUAUCCUUGCAGGUAUAGGAAACAGCAAUAUGCAAUAUGAUUUUAAUAUUUGCAAUAUAUUAGUGUUCUGACAAUGGAAAAGUUCCUAACCGCAUGUCUGUAUUACACCUAUGACCCAGACUGUCAGUAUUGCAAACCCCAUAUGAAGACUCUGCUUUCACUGUUUAUGUAUACACCCCUAGACAACCGUGCUAUACAAACACAAAUCUUCAAAAGCUUAUUAAUAUUAUAUCUGUGUGGUACACAAAUAGGUGUACACAAAGAGGGGGUGUGAGUUAAGUCAUCUCGACCUUCAUAUGGAAUAUGCUUCCUCCUUGUUCACUUUUGGUCAAACUGUUGGUCUGUGACUGGCCCUCUUUGACCCCAACUGAAUUUCUUGGGAAGAUUCAUGAGAAAGAUACAGCAGGUUGUUUUGGAUAUAAAGAAAAAGGGAAAAGUAUGUUGUAUCGGUCACAAAAGGAUUGUGAUCUUAAGCAGGCGAGACAAAGAAAGUUUGGAGGUGAUAGAUUGAAUCAGAAAAGUUUUAGAGGCAGAGGUAGAGAAUUUGAUCAAAGGAUUUAACUUUUGUAGAGAUGGUAACUUCAGCACUG